AGCGUUGUGUAUUACCAGGCCAAUAGCAACCACAACAAUUUGUAGUUAGCUGGAUAAUAAUUUGUCAUAAUAGACCAGAUAGCUAUGAUACUGCCCUACCUGGGACAGCAUCGUAGCUCUGCUCGGGUCCCACAGGUCCCACAAUAUUUCAUUGUUCUACGGAGC